AGAGUUUGAUCCUGGCUCAGGAUGAACGCUAGCUACAGGCUUAACACAUGCAAGUCGAGGGGAAACGACAUCGAAAGCUUGCUUUUGAUGGGCGUCGACCGGCGCACGGGUGAGUAGCGCGUAUCCAACCUGCCCAUCACUUGGGGAUAACCUUGCGAAAGUAAGACUAAUACCCAAUGACGUCUCUAGAAGACAUCUGAAAGAGAUUAAAGAUUUAUCGGUGAUGGAUGGGGAUGCGUCUGAUUAGCUUGUUGGCGGGGUAACGGCCACAAGGCGACGAUCAGUAGGGGUUCUGAGAGGAGGUCCCCANAUUGGAACUGAGACACGGUCCAAACUCCUACGGGAGGCA
rnacentral:rRNA from 1 species